rnacentral:rRNA from 2 species
ACGGGAGGCAGCAGUAGGGAAUCUUCCACAAUGGACGAAAGUCUGAUGGAGCAAUGCCGCGUGAGUGAAGAAGGGUUUCGGCUCGUAAAACUCUGUUGUUAAAGAAGAACACCUUUGAGAGUAACUGUUCAAGGGUUGACGGUAUUUAACCAGAAAGCCACGGCUAACUACGUGCCAGCAGCCGCGGUAAUACGUAGGUGGCAAGCGUUGUCCGGAUUUAUUGGGCGUAAAGCGAGCGCAGGCGGUUUUUUAAGUCUGAUGUGAAAGCCUUCGGCUUAACCGGAGAAGUGCAUCGGAAACUGGGAGACUUGAGUGCAGAAGAGGACAGUGGAACUCCAUGUGUAGCGGUGGAAUGCGUAGAUAUAUGGAAGAACACCAGUGGCGAAGGCGGCUGUCUAGUCUGUAACUGACGCUGAGGCUCGAAAGCAUGGGUAGCGAACAGGAUUAGAUACCCUGGUAGUCCAUGCCGUAAACGAUGAGUGCUAAGUGUUGGAGGGUUUCCGCCCUUCAGUGCUGCAGCUAACGCAUUAAGCACUCCGCCUGGGGAGUACGACCGCAAGGUUGAAACUCAAAGGAAUUGACGGGGGCCCGCACAAGCGGUGGAGCAUGUGGUUUAAUUCGAAGCUACGCGAAGAACCUUACCAGGUCUUGACAUCUUCUGCCAAUCUUAGAGAUAAGACGUUCCCUUCGGGGACAGAAUGACAGGUGGUGCAUGGUUGUCGUCAGCUCGUGUCGUGAGAUGUUGGGUUAAGUCCCGCAACGAGCGCAACCCUUAUUAUCAGUUGCCAGCAUUCAGUUGGGCACUCUGGUGAGACUGCCGGUGACAAACCGGAGGAAGGUGGGGAUGACGUCAAAUCAUCAUGCCCCUUAUGACCUGGGCUACACACGUGCUACAAUGGACGGUACAACGAGUCGCGAAGUCGUGAGGCUAAGCUAAUCUCUUAAAGCCGUUCUCAGUUCGGAUUGUAGGCUGCAACUCGCCUACAUGAAGUUGGAAUCGCUAGUAAUCGCGGAUCAGCAUGCCGCGGUGAAUACGUUCCCGGGCCUUGUACACACCGCCCGUCACACCAUGAGAGUUUGUAACACCCAAAGCCGGUGAGAUAACCUUCGGGAGU